AAAGUUUUAAGUUAAAUAAACUAUUAACCUUCAAAGUUAAAUAUAUAUAAUAAACUAUAUAAGCUUUA
rnacentral:tRNA from 1 species